rnacentral:rRNA from 1 species
GACGAACGCUGGCGGCGUGCUUAACACAUGCAAGUCGAACGGAAAGGCGCUGCGCUUGCGGGGUGCUCGAGUGGCGAACGGGUGAGUAACACGUGAGUAACCUGCCCUUGACUUUGGGAUAAGUUCAGGAAACUGGGGCUAAUACCGGAUAGGAGCUCCUGCUGCAUGGGGGGGGUUGGAAAGUUUCGGCGGUUGGGGAUGGACUCGCGGCUUAUCAGCUUGUGGGUGGGGUAGUGGCUUACCAAGGCUGAGACGGGUAGCCGGCCUGAGAGGGUGACCGCCCACAUUGGGCCUGCGAUACGCCCCAGACUCCUACGGGAGGCAGCAGUGGCGAAUAUUGCCCAAUGGGCGGAAGCCUGAUGCAGCAGCGCCGCGUGCGUGAUGACGGCCUUCGGGUUGUGAACCGCUUUCGCCUGUGACGAAGCGUGAGUGACGGUAAUGGGUAAAGAAGCACCGGCUAACUACGUG